CGUGUAGGCGGUCCUGCAAGUCGGAUGUGAAAGCCCUCGGCUUAACCGAGGAAGUGCGUUCGAUACUACAGAACUUGAGUACCGGAGAGGGUGGCGGAAUUCCCGGUGUAGAGGUGAAAUUCGUAGAUAUCGGGAGGAACACCAGUGGCGAAGGCGGCCACCUGGACGGCUACUGACGCUGAGACGCGAAAGCGUGGGGAGCAAACA
rnacentral:rRNA from 1 species